UAUUCCCCACUGCUGCCUCCCGUAGGAGUCUGGGCCGUGUCUCAGUCCCAAUGUGGCCGUUCAACCUCUCAGUCCGGCUACCGAUCGUCGCCUUGGUGGGCCGUUACCCCGCCAACAAGCUAAUCGGACGCGAGUCCAUCUCUAAGCGAUAAAUCUUUGAUAUCAGAGUCAUGCGGCUUCAAUAUGUUAUGCGGUAUUAGCGAUCUUUUCAGAACGUUAUUCCCCUCUUAGAGGCAGGUUACUCACGCGUUACUCACCCGUCCGCCACUAAGUUAAAAAUCCGUCAUCCCGAAGGAAUCCGUCAAAAUAACUCCGUUCGACUUGCAUGUGUUAGGCACGCCGCCAGCGUUCAUCCUGAGCCAA
rnacentral:rRNA from 1 species